rnacentral:lncRNA from 1 species
CUGGCAUACUGUUUUCAGUUCAUGGUAAGAAUAUAAGGUAGGUUUUUACUAUAAAUAAAGAUAUUUAGCUAUGAAUCCUGUCUCCUACUGCUUAGGGCACUACCAACCUUAUGGUAGGUACUUAGUAAUUAUUUGUUGAAUAAGCGAAACUUGCUGUAUUAGUCUGGGUUCUCCAGAGAAACAGAAUCAAUGGGAUAGAUAGAUAGACGGAUAGCUAUAGACAGAUACAGAUCUCUCUCUCUCUCUCUCUCUCUCUGUGUGUGUGUGUGUUUGUGUAGUGUGUAGAGAGAGAGAGAGGGGGGUGCAUUUACUAUCAUGAAUUAGCUUAUAUGAAUAUUGAGACUGAGAAGUCGGAGAUCAGCAGUUGGCAAACUUGAGAUCCAGAAGAGCUAAUGGUAUUAAUUCUAGUUUGAGUCCAAAGACCUGAGAACCAGGAUGUCCAAUGGUGUGAGUUCCGGUUCAAUUUCAAAGGCAGAAGAACAAUGUCCCAGCUCAAAUAUAGUCAGAUGGAGAUAAACAAUUCUUUCUUACUCAUCCUUUUCGUUCUAUUCAGGCCUUCAAGAAAUUGGGUAAGGGUCAGCCACGUUGGAGAAGGCAGUCUUGCAGACCAGGGAUUCAAAUGUAAAUCUCAUCCAGAAAUACCCUCACAGACACAGCCAGAACUAAUGUUUAACUAAGUAUCUGGGCACCUCAUGGCCCAGUCAAUUUGACACAAAAUUAACCCUCACACUUGCUAUAGUCACACAAGUUUCCACAAAUUAUUAAUGGAGACUAAUAAGUAAAUAAUACUGUUAUCAGGAUCUAGUGUGCUCAGACUGUUGUGUACAGGGGCAUCUUUACCCACAAAAAUUUAGAUAAUCAAUCAUGACAGACAGAAGUUUAGCCCUCCUUAGUUUCUCAUGUCUGUUGAUGUUGAUAUUAACAUGGUCUUGCUAAAUCAACUGAGAAUAAUGAAUUCAGAACUAUAAGGGGACAAGGCAAUUAUCUUUAAAAUAUAGGAAGGAUGCUAUAAAGUUUAUCUCCAGAUGUUUGAUUGCCCAUGGAGUUGACAUGGUGAUAGAAAUAGAAGCAUUGUACACUGAAAAACAAAAUAUCCUUGUUUCAUUUUUAUCAGAUACCUAAAACAUUUGAAAGUUUCGUAGGUAAUGGGACUCAAAACAGGCAAGGUCAGGUCAGAGUUAAACAGAGAAGAUUGUUUCUGCAAAACUGGAGCACUGUGGAAUGUAUAUCUAGCUGAAUUAGGAAAAGAAAUGGAAAAAGGAAAGAAAAUCACCGGUGUAGUUUAUAACUCUGUGUGGGCUGAACCCAGCCAUCCCUCUGUCUCUAUUCACUUUAAGAGGUCAAAAAAUCUGCUUUCUUUUUAACAUCUCUUCUUUUUUUAACAUGAACAAAUAACAAUUUUAAAUCUCCAAUAUCUGGAUUAUGGGACUGAAUCUUUGUUAUUUUCC